UAAAGGAGAACGAGUUCAGCAUUUCUGUUUCUUAUCAACUCAUACCAUCAAGAAUCUAGCAGAAGUACAGAACCUUUUGGAACCAGUGGGCACUAUUGUGUGAGGGAGAUGGAGUUGGUGGUAAAGUUGUUUGCCACUGCAGCUGCCAUGAAGAGGAUGCCCACCCUACUGGUGAGAAAAACAGCAAGCUGUAUUGAAUGCUGGAUGGUCAGUCGUAAGGGACACAUCACCUAUAAGGGCAUGCAGGCAACUUUAUUGACCAUUCUGUGUUUUACAGAAGCAGGAUGCAUGU